rnacentral:rRNA from 1 species
AUGACGCCAACAGUGACAAAAAUGGAUUUGGAGAUAAUGAACUGUGCAAUCAAGCAGGCGAGGACGACGAGGCAACAAGACGAAAGGGUUGCCAGACUCGUCGUUACAGGGAUAGGACUUACGCCCAGGCCAAGGAAUCGCUCAAAGAAGCAGCACGCGAGCAAGGGGCAGAUGCCAGUUAUCAAAGUAAAGCCGGCCAUGGUGAUCAAUGGUAUAGGGACACCAUGUCCGUACACCUCGCCAUUGAGGUCGACUAAGUUGAGAGCCAGUGCGAGAAGCACCGGGCAUAUCAUAACGACCACUCCUUCUGCCAAGCCCCGGGAACGGUUUAACAGUUCAGCCUAA